GCCCGCGUGGCUCAGUUGGCUAGAGCGUUCGGCUUUUAACAACGCGAUUGUUACCGAAAUGUCCAGAGUUCGAGCCUCUGCGUGGGCG